rnacentral:rRNA from 1 species
GAAACGUCGGCUGAUACUGCCGUUCUUGAGGGAUGCAGAGGAGACUGGAAUUCCCGGUGUAGCGGUGAAAUGUGUAGAGAUCGGGAGGAACACCGGUGGCGAAGGCGGGUCUCUGGGCAUUUCCUGACGCUGAGGCGCGAAAGCGUGGGGAGCAAACGGGAUUAGAUACCCCGGUAGUCCACGCUGUAAACGAUGACGACUAGGUGUGGGGUGGGUUAGUCCAUUCCGUGCCGCAGCUAACGCAUUAAGUCGUCCGCCUGGGGAGUACGGCCGCAAGGUUGAAACUCAAAGGAAUUGACGGGGGCCCGCACAAGCGGUGGAGCAUGUGGUUCAAUUCGAUGCAGAGCGAAGAACCUUACCUGGGCUUGACAUGU